GAUGAACGCUGGCGGCGUGCCUAACACAUGCAAGUGGAGCGACGAACCCGGACUUGUCCGGGGGCAAAGCCGCGAACGGGUGAGUAACACGUGGAUUAUCUGCCCCAAUGACCGGGACAACCCGAGGAAACUCGAGCUAAUACAGGACGUGCUCUUCGGAGGCAAGGAAGCUUUGGCCUCCGCAUUGGGAUGAGUCCGCGGUGCAUUAGCUAGUUGGUUGGGUAAAAGCCUACCAAUGCGACGAUGCAUAGCUGGUCUGAGAGGACGAUCAGCCACACUGGAACUGAGACACGGUCCAGACUCCUACGGGAGGCAGCAGUGGGGAAUCUUGCGCAAUGCACGAAAGUGUGACGCAGCAACGCCGCGUGCGGGAAGAAGGUCUUCGGAUCGUAAACCGCUUUCAGUUGGGACGAGGGUUACACGGUGAAUAGCCGGCGUAACUGACGGUACCUUCAGAAGAAGCCCCGGCUAACUACGUGCCAGCAGCCGCCGCAG
rnacentral:rRNA from 1 species